UUUCAUGUGGAAAUGCCUGCUCCCUCUUCUUUUUGGGGCAGGAAUACAUCCAUAACAUGCUAUAUUACAAAUUUUUAAAAAGUAGUCCAGUGCUACCAACCUUCUAUAGAGGUUAAGUAGUUUAUUUCUCCUACACAC